rnacentral:rRNA from 1 species
AGCGGCGGACGGGUGAGUAACGCGUGGGAACAUACCCUUUGGUACGGAAUAGCCUCGGGAAACUGGGGCUAAUACCGGAUGGUUCCUUCGGGAUAAAGAUUUAUCGCCAAAAGAUGAGCCCGCACUUGAUUAGCUAGUUGGUAAGGUAAUGGCUUACCAAGGCAACGAUCAAUAGCUGUUCUUAGAGGAAGACCAGCCACAUUGGGACUGAGACACGGCCCAAACUCC